AAUGAACGCUGGCGGCGUGCUUUACACAUGCAAGUCGAGCGAGGCGUCCCGCAAGGGAUAGUCGAGCGGCGAACGGGUGAGUAACGCGUGGAUAACCUGCCCUGAGGUGGGGGAUAACCAAGGGAAACUUUGGCUAAUACCGCAUGAUACCGAGAGGUCAAAGGGGGCUCGCAAGGGCUCUCGCCAUAGGAGGGGUCCGCGUCCGAUUAGCUAGUUGGUAGGGUAAUGGCCUACCAAGGCGACGAUCGGUAGCCGGCCUGAGAGGGUGAU
rnacentral:rRNA from 1 species